rnacentral:rRNA from 1 species
UACGGGGGGGGCAAGCGUUGUUCGGAAUUACUGGGCGUAAAGGGCUCGUAGGCGGCCAACUAAGUCAGACGUGAAAUCCCUCGGCUUAACCGGGGAACUGCGUCUGAUACUGGAUGGCUUGAGAUUGGGAGAGGGAUGCGGAAUUCCAGGUGUAGCGGUGGAAUGCGCAGAUAUCAGGAGGAACACCAAUAGCGAAGGCAGCUCGCUGGGACGGUACUGACGCUAAGGCGCGAAAGCGUGGGGAGCGAACAGG